UACGGAGGGUGCAAGCUUUAUCCGGAUUCACUGGGUUUAAAGGGUGCGUAGGCGGGCAUGUAAGUCCGUGGUGAAAUCUCCGAGCUUAACUCGGAAACUGCCAUGGAUACUAUGUGUCUUGAAUGUUGUGGAGGUGAGCGGAAUAUGUCAUGUAGCGGUGAAAUGCUUAGAUAUGACAUAGAACACCAAUUGCGAAGGCAGCUCACUACACAAAUAUUGACGCUGAGGCACGAAAGCGUGGGGAUCAAACAGG
rnacentral:rRNA from 1 species